rnacentral:rRNA from 1 species
GGGCCGCGGUAAUCUGACCGUGCAAAGGUAGCAUAAUCGUUAGUUUUUUAAUUGGAAUCUUGUAUGAAUGGUUGAACAAAAGAACAGCUGUCUCUAUACUUUUUUCUGAAUUUAACUUUUAAGUGAAAAGGCUUAAAUGCUUUAAGAAGACGAUAAGACCCUAUAAAGCAUUUUGUUGGGGCGACAAUGAUAAAGUGGUUAACUGUUAAAAAAAAAGACAAAAUUAAAUGAAAUGAUCCUCCUGUGGAGAUUAAAAGUUUAAGUUACUUUAGGGAUAACAGCGUUAUUUCUUUUGAGAGUCCUUAUCGAAAAAGAAGUUUGCGACCUCGAUGUUGAAUUAAAAUUUCUAUAUAAUUGCAGAGGUUAUAAUAGAAGGUCUGUUCGACCUUUAAAUUUUU